GAGGUGGCCUAGUGGUUAGAGCAUCCUCCUCGGAUGCGGAAGGUUUUGGGUUCGUUCCCCGACUUACA